ensembl:lncRNA ADGRL3-AS1 ADGRL3 antisense RNA 1
AGUUCUAUCAAUCCAGCUUCUUCAGGAUGAUGGGGAACAUGGGUCCCACAAUAGGCCAUCUGUAAGCCGAGGAGCAAGGAAGCCAGUUGAAGUCCCAAAGCUGAAGAGCUUGGAGUCCAAUGUUUGAGGGCAUGGAACAUCCAGCACUGGAGAAAGAGCUCCUGAAAUCGUUUGGGUAAGCAAUUGCUGAUUUUAGUCAAAUUCCCUCACCUCACAAAAAGUGAAGUUUCUGAAAAGUAAUACAGCAGGCAAAUAAAAUCUGCAGGAGACAGCAGAAGGAAAAGCAAUUAUUCUGAAUAAUCUACACAUAAAUUGCUGUAACUUCUCACCUGGAUUCCAGAGCUCUCAUGAAGAAAUAUGAUUUUGUUUGAUAUUUACCACCCCCUUCAAUUUUGAGGAGCGAUUACUUCCAAAUGAGGCAUGUAUGCUGAGUUGUUCUUUGACUCAUCUAUAAAGCUUUUAGCAAAUUGAGGGAAUUUGAAUUUCUAACAUCAAAAUGCAAUGUACAAAGGAGGAAAAAAUAUGACUCACCCAGCCCCCAAAUUUCAUAUUUAUAUCUCUGAUUGAAUCUGGUUUUAAAGGCGAAAUUUUAAAGGAAUAAAAGGC